GCUUCGAUGGUCUAAUGGUUAAGACGUUGAGUUGUGGCCUCAAAGACCCAGGUUCGAUUCCUGGUCGUUGCA
rnacentral:tRNA from 1 species